ensembl:lncRNA
UGGAGAAAACGAAUAUUUUAAUUGGGACGGAAAGUAUAUAAGAAACUUUUUUUUUUUUUUAAACAUACAAAAUAGAUGAAAGGUGCAACAAGACGUGUUUGACGCUGAAUCACAGCGUACAGUAUGUCAGUGGGGGCUGUAAGAUAGCAACUCCCUUCCAAUACACACUCAUCCCUACUAAUGGACUAAGAUUGUGAGCAUGCAACGCAAUGAUCUAAGCAACAGCUCAUUGCUGCAUCACGGCAGUGACUUUUGACAUCAUAUACGUCAAUCUGAUGCAAUGUCGUGGGCUACAUUUUCGACAAAAACUGCCACCAAAAAACCGUCAAGCAGAACAGUGACUGGUCUGAGAGAAUGAAAACCAGAAAAAACACACACCUAACAUUAAAAAAAUGGAUUGUGGUGGCUUUCUACUUACGACUACUCACAAAACAUCACCAGUAAAAUACAUUGUUAAGUGUAAGACUCGAUCCGCCGCCAGGGCAUAAAUGCCGUCCUCCACCGCACCCAAGUAAGGCAUUUGUCACAUCUAGGCAUGUGUUAAUAAUCAGUUAUGAGAUUCCAUUAUAUUUAACGUUAAGAAACAUUUCCGGCUCACAUUUUGUGCAUCCAAUCAAGAAAAAUGCAGUUUCUUUUUUUGGCAGGCAGCACAAUUUUAGCUAAACUAGAAAAAUCUCAAAUAUUUUCCUCACAGCUAUAAUACAAAUACAUUAAGAGUGUAGUGUUUCCUAUGCUGGUUAAAUAGGUCUUAAAAGCAGCAAGCUAUUUGGAAGGAAUAAAGAACGUGAAAGUAUUGUAACUGAGUCUGAAUCGGAAGUCAAUCAUGAGGUGCCGAGGUGCCUAGUGAUCCCCCCCACUGUUCCAAGAAUGGAGAUGAUCUUUUUUUCCCCUUAUGCGUCAAUGCCUAGUCGCUGCUGCAUUAACUGUCAACCGAGAAGGUAAAAAGCAUGGCAAAAAAAAACCUGAUGGAAACAAAGAGGGGAUACAUUCCUUUCUUUCUAGAAAGAGUGUGCAUGCAUUUUACAUCACUGUACACACACACAU